UACGUAGGGACCAAGCGUUGUUCGGAUUUACUGGGCGUAAAGGGCGCGUAGGCGGCAUAUUAAGUCAGCUGUGAAAUCUCCGAGCUUAACUCGGAACUGUCAGCUGAUACUGAUGUGCUAGAGUGCAGAAGGGGCAACUGGAAUUCUCGGUGUAGCGGUGAAAUGCGUAGAUAUCGAGAGGAACACCUGCGGCGAAGGCGGGUUGCUGGGCUGACACUGACGCUGAUGCGCGGAAGCCAGGGGAGCGAACGGG
rnacentral:rRNA from 1 species